rnacentral:lncRNA from 10 species
CAUCUCCUCGGAACUCACCCAGGCCAGUGAGGCCUUAACUCUGAAAGGCAAAAAGACUCUCAGGCGCUCACAGCCGGCGUCACAAAAGGAACGGCGCACCGCUGACGUCAUUUACGCUCUCCGCCUCGGGCCAGGCGGGGUUUCGGGACUAGGGUUUCUGCCGUGUAAUACCUCCUCGAGGCAGAAAAAUUCUACUUUCCAUCUGCUUGGCUGCGGAGGACCUUGGGGUGGGCUCAGCGUGGGGGCUGCAGGCAGAAAUGGGUCCAGAAGGCAAGGUCGAGGUUAGAGCCAAGCCUGUGGGCAGGGCUACGGGCAGGGGGCGGGGAGGAAUGUGGGUCCAGGCCCAGAGGAAAAGGUUGAAGUUAUAGCCAGGCCUGUGGGCGAGGCCGCAGCAGGGCGGCCAUAGGGGAAGGAGCCAAUGUGUUAUGCAUGUAGAAAAUAGACAAAAUCUCACUCUGUCACCAAGGCUGGAGUUCAGUGGAGCCAUCUCAGCUCACUGCAACCUCCACCUCCCAGGUUCAAGCGAUUCUCCUGCCUCAUCCUCCCAAGUAGCUGGAAUUACAGGUGCAUGCUGCCACACCCUGCUAAUUUUUGUAUUUUUAGUAGAGGCAGGGUUUUGCCAUGCUGGCCAGGCUGGUCUUGAACUACUUGUCAGGCCUCUGAGCCCAAGUUAAAUCAUCAUAAACCCUGUCACCUGCACGUAUACAUCCAGAUGGCCUGGAGCAACUGAAGAACCACAAAAGAAGUGAAACAGCCAGUUCCUGCCUUAACUGAUGACGUUCCACCAUUGUGAUUUGUUGCUGCCCCACCCCAACUGAUCUCUUGACCUUGUGACAUUCUUCUUCUGGACGAGUCUCAGGAGUUCCCCACCGAGCACCUUGUGACCCCCGGCCCUGCCAGCAAAAGAUAACCACCUUUAACUUUCCACUACCUACCCAAAUCCUAUAAAACUGCCCCACCCCUAUCUCCCUUUGCUGACCCCUUUCUCGGACUCAGCCCACUUGCACCCAAGUGAAUAAACAGCCUUGUUGCUAACACAAAGCCUAUUGGUGGUCUCUUCACAUGGAUGUGUGUAACAUUUGGUUCCGAAACCUGGGACAGGGGGACUCCCUUGGGAGACUGGCCCCGUCCUCACCCUCACUCCGUGAGGAGCUCCACCUACUACCUCGGGUCCUCAGACUAGCCCAAGGAACAUCUCACCAAUUUCAAAUUGGGCUGCUCCUCGCCAAGCUGAGCCAGGUCCUAACGUAUCCA